rnacentral:rRNA from 1 species
UACGUAGGGGGCAAGCGUUGUCCGGAUUUAUUGGGCGUAAAGAGCGUGUAGGCGGCUUUACAGGUCCGUUGUGAAAACUCGAGGCUCAACCCUCGAGACGCCGGUGGAAACCGUAAAGCUAGAGUCCGGAAGAGGAGAGUGGAAAUUCCUGGUGUAGCGGUGAAAUGCGCAGAUAUCAGGAAGAACACCCGUGGCGAAGGCGGCUCUCUGGGACGGUACUGACGCUGAGACGCGAAAGCGUGGGGAGCGAACAGG